GACGAACGCUGGCGGCGUGCUUAACACAUGCAAGUCGAACGGAAAGGCCCUGCUUUUGUGGGGUGCUCGAGUGGCGAACGGGUGCGUAACACGUGAGUAACCUGCCCUUGACUUUGGGAUAACUUCAGGAAACUGGGGCUACUACCGGAUAGGAGCCCCUGCUCCAUGGUGAGGGUUGGAAAGUUUCGGCGGGUGGGGAUGGACUCGCGGCUUAUCAGCUUGUUGGUGGGGGAGUGGCUUACCAAGGCUUUGACGGGUAGCCGGCCUGAGUGGGUGAACGGCCACAUUGGGACUGAGAUACGCACCAGACUCCUACGGGAGGCAGCAGUGGGGAGUAUUGCACAAUGGGCGGAAGCCUGAUGCAGCAACGCCGCGUGCGGGAUGACGGCCUUCGGGUUGUAAACCGCUUUCGCCUGUGACGAAGCGGGAGUGACGGUAAUGGGUAAAGAAGCACCGGCUAACUACGUG
rnacentral:rRNA from 1 species